CAUAGGGUAUAUUUAUCAUGUUCAUCAUGAACUUUAGCUUUUGUUUUUACUGAGAGUUUAGAAUUUGUCAUGACUGCAUCCACGUCCAUCAUGGCCCAAGAUGUCUACCUUUGUAACUUCUGUGUCCAAGCUGCCAAGAUCUGCUGCAGAAGUUGUCAGGCUUAUCUGUGUGGGGAGUGUGUUGUAAACCACCUACAGCAACUGACAGAUGAACGACAUGAUAUAGCGCCGUUAAAAAAGAGACGAAGGCGGCAAUGUACGUUACAUCCGGGUCACCGAUGUGAUGCCUUCUGUAAAGAUUGUCAGGUCCAUGUCUGCCUUAGUUGUUUGAUUGGAGGACAUCGACUUCAUGACGUAGAGGAAUACUCAGUUGUUAUCCAGUCAGAAACAAGGAUGGAAGAGGAAGAUGAGGACGAACACGCUAGCGUAGAUGAAGUGAUUACUGAAUCAAAUGCAUGUAGAAAAUGCACUACUUUCAUUCUGCAACCAGUUCUUUCAAUACGCAAAUGUUGUACAUCUUCUGUGGUACAGCUCCAGUGUGAACCGAUGUCCAGAUUGAUUUGUUGUGCACUUUUGUUCACCAUUGGGAUUACUCUCUUACUUAUUGGAUGUAUUCCUUUCCAGCAAGAAUUUUUCUCCUUUCUUCGAGGCCCCCUUCUAUGUUUGGUUUGCCCUUUGUUCUCCCUUACGCCGAUAUUAACCAGGCCUUUCGAAAUCGUCAGAUCUGUCCUUAUUCCUUGCCACUGGUGCUUUUGUGUCAGCCAUUGCUUUCCCGAUUGUACUCACUAAUAAUUCCAAGGAAAUUGCUAUGGCUGCUUCAAAGUCCAUAAUGGCCCAAGAUGUGUACCUUUGUAACUUCUGUGGCCAUGCUGCCGAGAUCUGUUGUAAAAGCUGUCAAGCUUAUCUGUGUGUUCAGUGUGUUUCUGAUCAUUUAAUUGUACUUAAAGACGAACGACAUGACAUAGUGCCAUUCAAAAAACGGAGGAAGAGGAACUGUGAAUUGCAUCCGGGUCAACGCUGUGAGGCUUUUUGUCAGAACUGUGAGAUCCACGUCUGCCUGAGUUGUUUGAUUGGAGAACAUCGACUACAUGACGUAGCGCAAUACCCAGUUGUUAUCCAAUCAGAAACGGAAGACGAGGAAGAGGCUAAUAAAACAAGCUGCGCUAUCUUAUCCCAAGCAUUACGUGGCUGUGCAUCUUCUGCAGUACAUUUCCAGUUAGGACCUAUACCUCGGCUGAUUGUUUGUACUUUUUUGUUCACGAUAGGGUUAGC